rnacentral:rRNA from 1 species
UGGCGACCGGCGCACGGGUGAGUAACGCGUAUGCAACUUACCUAUCAGAGGGGAUAGCCCGGCGAAAGUCGGAUUAAUACCCCAUAAAACAGGGGUCCCGCAUGGGAAUAUUUGUUAAAGAUUCAUCGCUGAUAGAUAGGCAUGCGUUCCAUCAGGCAGUUGGCGGGGUAACGGCCCACCAAACCGACGAUGGAUAGGGGUUCUGAGAGGAAGGUCCCCCACAUUGGUACUGAGACACGGACCAA